rnacentral:rRNA from 1 species
GUCUAUGGCUAUGCCACCCUGAACAUGUCCAAUCCUGUCUGAUCUCAGAAGCUAAGCAGGGUCAGGCCUGGUAAGUACCUGGAUGAGAGACCACCUAGGAAGACCAGGCGCUGUAGUCG